rnacentral:rRNA from 1 species
UACGUAGGGUGCGAGCGUUGUCCGGAAUUAUUGGGCGUAAAGAGCGCGUAGGCGGCCAGAUAAGUCCGGUGUGAAAGUCACAGGCUCAACCUGUGAAUGCCGCUGGAAACUGUCUGGCUAGAGUCCGGAAGGGGCGAGUGGAAUUCCUGGUGUAGCGGUGAAAUGCGCAGAUAUCAGGAGGAACACCGGUGGCGAAGGCGGAUCUCUGGGCCUUACCUGACGCUGAGGAGCGAAAGCAUGGGGAGCAAACAGG